UAUGGCCAUAUAACGUCAAAACAUCGGUUCUCGUACGAUCACCUAAGUUAAACAACGUUGAGACUGGUUAGUAACUAGAUGGGUGACCACUUGUGAAUAACAGGUACUGCA